rnacentral:rRNA from 1 species
UGCGUAGGCGGAAUAUUAAGUCAGUGGUGAAAUCCUGCGGCUCAACCGUAGAACUGCCAUUGAUACUGAUAUUCUUGAAUGUAGUUGUGGUAGGCGGAAUGUGUAAUGUAGCGGUGAAAUGCUUAGAUAUUACACAGAACACCGAUUGCGAAGGCAGCUUACUAAACUAUGAUUGACGCUGAGGCACGAAAGCGUGGGGAGCGAACAGGAUUAGAUACCCUGGUAGUCC